rnacentral:rRNA from 1 species
UGAGGAAUAUUGGUCAAUGGGCGUAAGCCUGAACCAGCCAUCCCGCGUGAAGGAAGAAGGCGCUAUGCGUCGUAAACUUCUUUUCCAGAGGAAGAAAACCCCCGACGAGUCGGGGCUUGCCGGUACUCUGGGAAUAAGCAUCGGCUAACUCCGUGCCAGCAGCCGCGGUAAUACGGAGGAUGCAAGCGUUAUCCGGAUUUAUUGGGUUUAAAGGGUGCGUAGGCGGAUUAAUAAGUCAGUGGUGAAAACCUUCAGCUUAACUGGAGAACUGCCAUUGAUACUGUUAGUCUUGAGUACGGUCAAGGUAGGCGGAAUGUGUAAUGUAGCGGUGAAAUGCUUAGAUAUUACACAGAACACCGAUUGCGAAGGCAGCUUACUGGGCCAUUACUGACGCUGAGGCACGAAAGCGUGGGGAGCGAACA